rnacentral:rRNA from 1 species
UACAGAGGGUGCGAGCGUUAAUCGGAAUUACUGGGCGUAAAGGGCUCGUAGGCGGCCAACUAAGUCAGACGUGAAAUCCCUCGGCUUAACCGGGGAACUGCAUCUGAUACUGGAUGGCUUGAGAUUGGGAGAGGGAUGCGGAAUUCCAGGUGUAGCGGUGAAAUGCGUAGAUAUCUGGAGGAACACCGGUGGCGAAGGCGGCAUCCUGGACCAACACUGACGCUGAGGAGCGAAAGCCAGGGGAGCAAACGGG